rnacentral:lncRNA from 1 species
GGGCAUUUCCAAGUCUUCAGGAAGGAUUUAAUCAAUGUUUCUCACAUCUGGAGUUGUUUCUAUUUCUUGGGACUCAUAAAAUUUCUAUCUUGAAGACACACAGAAGAAGAGUCAGAUGACUUCCAUAUCAUCAGAUUUCCAGUUAUAAGUUAUUUGAAUCCAAAGAAACGUGAACAAUGUGUUGAAAACAAACUUCAGUGAGAUGGUCUAAAAGACAUCAUUCAUAAGAUUAAAGUACAAAGUCCUACACAAUCACAUGACUAUGACUGAAGGGAACCAGUGACCAACUUUGCAGAAGAGAGGAAAUGCUGAUGUCCAGAUGGGCUCUGAAGGUGUCUUCUUCCAAAGACUUUUGUCUGCCCUUUCACCUACAACCUGCAGAACUAUAUAGGAACAUGUGAUGCAUUUGCAUUGGAGCCCUAAAAUCAAGUAUUCACCUCUGCUGGGAAUUCACAGAGUCUAUUUAGUAAAUCUUGACCUGUUGCUAAGCCAUGUGGGAGAAUACAGGUUUUAGGAAGUAGAGAAUGCUUUGCUCAGUAGGAACUAGGAGUGUGGGCCUUGGCCUGAUGAUUAGGGAAUACCAACUCAGAUAUAAUCCCUCCAUGGCACUUUCCCCAAGGUUGCCUCCUGGGUAACUGGCCCAUGUUGACAGGUGUGAAUGAGUAUUCAUAGGUAAAAAGAGAUUAGCUCAAUCUCAUUGCUUUUAUGUCUUCAUUCAGAAUUUUCCAUCCCAGCAAGGCAAGUCAAGGGAAUUAGUCAUAAUAUACUGCUUCUGAAUCCUUGCCUGUGUUAGAGAAAAUAUUUACCUUAAGCACCCAAUGGCAGUCCCAGGAAAACAUUCUGACAGGGUCUCCUGUAUAUCAAAGUUGGUGAUUUACCUCCUAUUAGCAUCCAGGUGGAUUGGACUCUGUUUACAAACUCAGAUUGAGUCUCUGAUAUGCUGGAAUCUGCCUUUUAACUGCUAACCAAUGUAAAGCACUCAUGCAUGCACAACACACACACACACACACACACACACACACACACACACACACACACAGUGCUAGUUAAAUUUAUCUCCCUACUUUAACAUUUGCUUGGUCACAAUUCAAUAUUUUCCAGAAGUCUGUGUAGCUCCCAGUCAUGAGACUUCUAUAUCACCCUUGCUUCAGAGCUAAAAUCGUAUCUCAAGAUAUAUUUAGAAUUCACUUUCUUGCUUCCUUAGACCUUGAAAUGAAAGUACAUGUACCUAUCUAAGAGGAGAUUGUUGUCAAAUUCGAACAAAAGGGCCAUAACUAGGUGAAACAACCUCAAGUUUCUAGAGUCCUAACUCUUGCCACAUGGAUUUUCCUUCAGGCCAUUGGUGUCCUUUUGUGUCACUGCCCACCACUGAACCAUGUUCUUGACAGAACAUUAGCAGCCAAUCAUCCCCAACUGUAAGGGGAUUUAGCACACUGUGCUAUCUCACCACUGACCCUUACUGCAAGAUGAAAUACAUGUCUGGAUAUCUUUAUUUGGUAUUGAGAAGAGGAAGGGGCUGUAAGGGCUAGGAGAGUAAGGGCUCCAUAAAGUCUGGCUGAGCAAAUGGGUGAAUCUGGAUGGAGGGAGACCAGAUGCAUCCCCCUUUGAAAGAGAUAAGAGAUAGAAUCAAGGGGAAGCAUCUUUCCCUUCUUGUCCCAAGGUUAUUCAUUUAGGUCCUAUCUAAUCUUUACUAGCUUGGACAAUGGGCUGAUUUGUUUUUGUCAAUUCAAUACAAACCUAGAUGUACCCAGAUACAUCAGUCAAGAGGUAAUCUUGAUUGAGAAGCUACCUAAUUAAGUUAGCCUACAGGAAACUCUGUGGGGUAUUGUCUUGAUUAAUGAUUGAUUUGGAGAACCCAAUUCACUAUGGACAAUACCAUUCCUGAGCAGUUAGUUCUGGGUUGUAUAAGAAAGCAUGUUGGGUAAGCCACUGGAAGCAAACCAAGAGGCAUCAGUACUCCCUAUAUUCUGCUUCAGUUGCUCUCCCCAUAUUCCCACCCUUACUUUCUUCAGUGACAGAGUAAGUUCUGAGAGUUAUAGGAUGAAGUAAAUCCUUUUUUGCCUAAGUUGCCUUUGGACAUAAUAUAUUAUCACAACAAUGAAAUUGUACCAAAGACGGGCAACUUAAACAACAACAACAAACAGCAACAACAACAACAACAACAAACACCAUUUGGUGCUGGGGAGAUGGCUCAGGAGUCAGGAGUACUUGUUGGUUUUCCAGACGAUGCAAGUUCAACUCCCAGCACUCACAUGGUGGCUAACAAGGAUCUGCAACUCCAGUUUCAGGAGAUAUGAAACUUUUUCUGGCCUCCAUAGGGACCAGGCAUGCAUGUGGUAUACAAACAUAAAAGCAGGCAAAACACACAUACUCUUAAAAUUAAAAGGAAAAUAAUUAAAACAAGUUCAAAAGCUAACUUUUUUUUUCAAUCAAUACCACAGAAGCAACCAUAAAAACAUAGUUAUCAACUAUAGGUUCUUGGAUUCUCCCUAAACAUUUUGAUCUUAAUCUCCACAAUAGCUCUUUCUGACACAUAAAUAUUUAAACCCUUUGUCUGUCUAGGAUAGAGCCCAGGAGUUUGAGUGUCUGCCUUGCUAGAUUGAAGACUGGAGUUCAGAUCCCCUAGAUCACCCACAAAUGCUGGAUAGGAGUGGCAGCCCAGCUGUCGUUGCAGCUUUGGGAGAUCGAGACAGAGAACUCACAGGCAAAGCUGGCUAGCAAAACUAGACCUGUUGGCUGUCUUUGGGUUUGCUAGACUGCUGCUAGUUCAAUGAAUAGAGUGAUUGAGAAAGUUUCCUAACAACAACCUUAAACUCUCAGAUAGAUGGCAACAUAUGUGCCUGUGCCCCUCCUAUACACAGGCAAAGCAUGCACAUACGUGCAUGCAUUACAGACACACUCAUGUUUAUGCAUGCACACACAUAUACAAGAAAAGUUCAAAAGAUACAAACCCUGCUUGUCUUAUUAGUCUUGAUAUUUGGAAACCAAGGUGGAAUGCUACAGAGAGCAGAGUUGAGUUAGAAAUCCCAGCUCUGCACAUUCACAAUGCAUUGUUUUCUCUAUACUAUGAAGGUUGACCCUACAUAAGUUAAUUACUUAAAAAAAUCAAAUUGUUUUUAGAAAAAGAAAACACAGUCUCUCUAGACUAAGAAACCUGUAAAAUCUGAAAAGUAGAAUUAUCAACUGGGAAAAGUGGAAAGGAAGGUCUGUCUAUGCUGUUCUAGUUUUCUCUGCCUGUUAACUUCACGUACAGACACUUGCCCUAUGUGUAGCUCACUUUAUCACACAGUAGACUUCUUCCCAUCAUCAGUCCCACAUCCACGUACCAAGAGGCGAGGGAACUCUUGUAAAAGCAAUUGAUCUGAUUUCACAAUCCCUGUCAACCUCACUCCUCAACCUAUGUCACUUUAGCAAAGCUCUAAGGAGCUUUCUAUUCUGGGUUAGAGCACUUAUUUGAAGAAAAUCAAGCUACAAGAUAUAGAAGAUAAUAACUUUUGAGUUAACAGCAUCCCAAGUUAGGUACAAAUGAAUGAAGAUGAAAAGCAGUGCUUCUUUGACAUCCCUGAAUCCUCCAAAUUGAGUCUCUUCCAUGUCUUAAUCCCAAGGUGCUGGGCUCUCACUGUCAUUCCUGAGCUAUACGCUAUGAGAUGUGUGUCUACUCAGCCAGAAGGAUGAGUGAAGUGCUCACUGUCAAAUGUAGUGACUUACUGGGUCCCUUUAAUACCCAGUAAGCUCAUACCAUCUUAUUUGCAGACACACAGAGACUUCAGAGUUACUCACAGCUGUUCCAGUGUUUAAAACUCACUCCUUAGUCUGAUAAAAAUGUUCACUCACCAAAAGCUCCUUUUAGAUGCCUUGUUCUCUUUUCUGACCCCCCACCACACCUUUUUAAUUUUUUCCCCCAUAUACUUAGGUCACAAGUAGUUUAUCGUUUCUGGGCCUGGGUGGCCUUGCAUUCCUGAGAAAUUGUUGUAACGUUUUCCUGCUUCUUUUUGUAUAACUUAAACAAGGAGAGUGGGGUGCCUUUGUUCCUGAAGUGUUGGCUGAUGGUGAAACAAACAGCACGGUUGGACAUGUGCGUUCUGUUUUAGAAACCGGAAACAAACUGCGGGACCUAAGCCAGUAUCUCCGAUUAUGCCAUUGAAAGAUAAUUUUGCUUAUUGU